AGUCACUGACAUUAGAUACCCCGGUAGUCCCAGCCGUAAACUAUGCGCGUUAGGUGUACUGGUGACCACGAGUCACCGGGGUGCCGAAGGGAGACCGUGAAACGUGCCGCCUGGGAAGUACGGUCGCAAGGCUGAAACUUAAAGGAAUUGGCGGGGGAGCACCGCAACGGGAGGAGCGUGCGGUUUAAUUGGAUUCAACACCGUAAAACUCACCAGGGAAGACUGUUACAUGAAGGCCGAGAUGAAGACUCUGCUAGAUUUUCAG
rnacentral:rRNA from 1 species